rnacentral:rRNA from 1 species
UAGUAGCGGCGAGCGAACAGGGAGAAGCCCAGCACUGAAUCGCGCGUCCACUGGGGCGCUGCGAAAUGUAGUGUUUGGGAGAGUCCACCAUUCCGUAUGUUGGUGACGCGUCCAAGUCCUUCUUGAAGGGGGCCAUUUACCCAUAGAGGGUGCCAGGCCCGUAGGACCGUUGCCAUUUGCGGAAGGACUUCUCCUUAGAGUCGGGUUGCUUGAGAGUGCAGCCCAAAGUAGGUGGUAAACUCCAUCUAAGGCUAAAUAUAACCACGAGACCGAUAGCGAACAAGUACCGUGAGGGAAAGUUGAAAAGAACUUUGAAGAGAGAGUUCAAUAGUACGUGAAACCGUUUAGGUGUAAACCUGAGAAACCCGAAAGUUCGAACUGAGAGAUUCAUCGUGUAUCGUCGCACGCGAGCUGCACUGGGACGACAAUUGUAGUUCGCUGCGGUUGCUCUUUGGGUAGACGUCGUGUGGCGAAUGCGUGCACUUCUCUCAUAGUAGGACGUCGCGACCCGUUGGGUGUCGGUCAAAGGCUUGCGGUGGAGCCCGUUUGUCGGCUUCGGCCGUGCGAGCGGACCCGUGAUGUCCCGGCCGGUGCUUGACGGUAUAUAGAUGGCGUAUGGCGCGACUUGGUCGCGUUCGGCACGAUGCAAGCGCUCUCGGUUACUCGCCUUCGGCCCUGUUCGAUCACGAGGCCGACUUUGCUGCUUGUGUCUGUGUCCCGAACAGUCUGUACGCCCGUCUGCGGCGCUUAUAGCUUUGGGUACUUUCAGGACCCGUCUUGAAACACGGACCAAGGAGUCWAGCAUGUGCGCGAGUCACUGGGACUAUCGAAUCCUAAAGGCGAAAUGAAAUUGAACGCAAGCUUGUGCUUGACCUAGGGAAGAUGGGUGUACUUAGAUGUCGCCUCGCACUCCCGGGGCGUCUCAUUCUCAUUGCGAGAAGAGGCGCACCUAGAGCGUACAUGCUGGGA